rnacentral:rRNA from 1 species
CGGAGAGUUUGAUCCUGGCUCAGGACGAACGCUGGCGGCAUGCCUAAUACAUGCAAGUCGAACGAGCUUCCGUUGAAUGACGUGCUUGCACUGAUUUUAACAUUGAAGCGAGUGGCGAACUGGUGAGUAACACGUGGGAAGUCUGCCCAGAAGCAGGGGAUAACACUUGGAAACAGGUGCUAAUACCGUAUAACAACAAGAACCGCAUGGUUCUUGUUUGAAAGGUGGCUUCGGCUAUCACUUCUGGAUGAUCCCGCGGCGUAUUAGUUAGUUGGUGAGGUAAAGGCCCACCAAGACAAUGAUACGUAGCCGACCUGAGAGGGUAAUCGGCCACAUUGGGACUGAGACACGGCCCAAACUCCUACGGGAGGCAGCAGUAGGGAAUCUUCCACAAUGGACGAAAGUCUGAUGGAGCAAUGCCGCGUGAGUGUAGAAGGGUUUCGGCUCGUAAAACUCUGUUGUUAAAGAAGAACACUUCUGAGAGUAACUGUUCAGAAGUUGACGGUAUUUAACCAGAAAGCCACGGCUAACUACGUGCCAGCAGCCGCGGUAAUACGUAGGUGGCAAGCGUUGUCCGGAUUUAUUGGGCGUAAAGCGAGCGCAGGCGGUUUCUUAAGUCUGAUGUGAAAGCCUUCGGCUUAACCGGAGAAGUGCAUCGAAAACUGGGUAACUUGAGUGCAGAAGAGGACAGUGGAACUCCAUGUGUAGCGGUGGAAUGCGUAGAUAUAUGGAAGAACACCAGUGGCGAAGGCGGCUGUCUAGUCUGUAACUGACGCUGAGGCUCGAAAGCAUGGGUAGCGAACAGGAUUAGAUACCCUGGUAGUCCAUGCCGUAAACGAUGAGUGCUAGGUGUUGGAG